GAUGAAGAACGCAGCGAAUUGCGAUAUGUAAUGUGAAUUGCAGAAUUCAGUGAAUCAUCGAAUCUUUGAACGCACAUUGCGCCCCUUGGUAUUCCGAGGGGCAUGCCUGUUCGAGCGUCAUAUUAACCACUCCCGCUUGCGGGGUCUUGGGCUUCGCCUCCGGGCGGGCCUUAAAAUCAGUGGCGGUGCCGUCGGGCUCUACGCGUAGUAAAUUUUCUCGCGAUAGGGUCCCGGUGGAUGCUUGCCAACAACCCCCAACUUCUUAAGGUUGACCUCGGAUCAGGUAGGGAUACCCGCUGAACUUAAGCAUAUCAAUAAGCGGAGGA
rnacentral:misc_RNA from 1 species